GGAGGGUAUAGCUCAGGGGUAGAGUGCGUGCUUAGCAUGCAUGAGGUCCUGGGUUCAAUCCCCAGUGCCUCCA
rnacentral:tRNA from 1 species